rnacentral:rRNA from 1 species
CGUGUAGGCGGUUUCUUAAGUCGAAUGUGAAAGCCCCGGGCUCAACCCGGGAAGUGCAUUGGAUACUGGGAGACUUGAAUACGGGAGAGGGUAGUGGAAUUCCUAGUGUAGGAGUGAAGUCCGUAGAUAUUAGGAGGAACACCGGUGGCGAAGGCGGCUACCUGGACCGAUAUUGACGCUGAGACGCGAAAGCGUGGGGAGCAAACAGGGAUUAGAUACCCUGGUAGUCCACGCCGUAAACGAUGAGAACUAGGUGUUGCGGGUAUUGACCCCUGCAGUGCCGCAGCUAACGCAUUAAGUUCUCCGCCUGGGAAGUACGGUCGCAAGACUAAA